rnacentral:misc_RNA from 1 species
GUGUCCGGGCCAGCUUUCGUGCACCUUGACUAAAUCCACGGGAUACCUGUUAUCUCCCACCAGCAACAACAUUGGUGGAGAUAUAAUUGAGAUGGUGAAAUAGAAAAUUGAGGGAGAAAGGUAAGAAAAUGCAUUUAAGUUUUUACAAGUAAAAAAUAAUUUGAGAUGAUAAGCCUUAGGAUUGAUACACAGUGGUGGAAUGACGACAGUAGGAGGAGUAAUAAGAUGCUAAGAUCUGGAAAAUAGAGUUGGAAGUUCUGUAUUGUGAUAAUCUCUCAUCAAACUGAAGUAGACAAUGCAUUAAACAUGUCUGCUUUUUGGGGAUUUUGUAUAAUUUUAUCUUUAAGAGAUUGUGGUACAUGGUUUAAAAUGAGA